rnacentral:rRNA from 1 species
GACGAACGCUGGCGGCGUGCUUAACACAUGCAAGUCGAGCGGUAAGGCCCUUUCGGGGGUACACGAGCGGCGAACGGGUGAGUAACACGUGGGUGACCUGCCCUUAGCUCUGGGAUAAGCCUGGGAAACUGGGUCUAAUACCGGAUAUGACUCCAUGACGCAUGUUGUGGGGUGGAAAGCCUUGUGCGGCUAGGGAUGGGCCUGCGGCCUAUCAGCUUGUUGGUGGGGUGAUGGCCUACCAAGGCGACGACGGGUAGCCGGCCUGAGAGGGCGACCGGCCACACUGGGACUGAGACACGGGCCCAGACUCCUACGGGAGGCAGCAGUGGGGAAUCUUGCGCAAUGGGCGAAAGCCUGACGCAGCGACGCCGCGUGGGGAUGACGG